rnacentral:sRNA from 1 species
GGACCAAGUUUUUUAAGGCCAUACGGACAGCCGGGUCCCAAUGCCGA